AAAAGAUGGCGGACAAGGCAAAAUGAAAAUUUAUCUGAAAUAGUAAGCUCGAAGGGAAAAGGUCACAGAAGGAUCUCUGGCUUGGCGAAGCCUCUUGUGGUAUGCAAAACAGAGGCCCUUCUUUAUGGAAGCUGUGUGUCCCAGAAAGACAACAUUACCAAGCAUGCCUGUGAUAAGGAGUUUCAAGCACUUAAAGACUGUAUAAGACAAGCAUCAUCAGCAAAAAUUAGGGACUGAAGAUAAAUAAGAGACAACAGCAAGUCACUCAGACAUAGGACUGCUGUGCUUUUUCUACUCAAAUUCAAAUACUACCUACCUAAAAUAAUGUAAUAAUAAUCAUUAUAUACUGAAACAAAAAGUUUCAUUCCUGA